UCCUCCUUAGCUCAGUUGGUUAGAGCACCUGACUGUUAAUCAGGGGGUCCAAGGUUCAAGUCCUUGAGGGGGAGCAA
rnacentral:tRNA from 1 species